AUUGCCUACUGCCGAAUGGACCUGUUCGGCCUGAUAGGCCGAGACAGGGAAGAUAUCGGGUUCAAAGCCCAGUAGCUGUUU
rnacentral:tRNA from 1 species